UCCUCGUUAGUAUAGUGGACAGUAUCUCCGCCUAUCGCACGCGGAAGACCCGGGGUUCGAUUCCCGACCAGGGA